GUCCGGUGUGAAAUAGCAUCGGGAUCGUAAUACUAGAACGCCAUUUUUAUGACGUCCGUGGCGGGAAAUGAGAGGUUGUUCAGGGCUAGUGAGACGAUGUUUUUAUCAGCCAUAUGAUACUAUUUAUAGGAGUAGUCUCCCCUGUUAAAGAAUAUCCAUAAUAAACAUUGCCGGAUGCUGCCUGGACAUCAACAGAGAGUUUUUACGCUGUAUUUCUACCAAUCACCACUGUAACCUUUGUUAUGUUUCGCAGACAGGUGCACGUGAUGCAACUUCCUGGAUGGUGUGUAGGCUGUUCCUCAACAUCUGAAACCCACGUGUAUUUCAGGGUACCCG